CCCGCUGAACUUAAGCAUAUCAAUAAGCGGAGGAAAAGAAACUAACAAGGAUUCCCCUAGUAACUGCGAGUGAAGCGGGAAAAGCUCAAAUUUAAAAUCUGGCGGUUCUUGUAGCCGUCCGAGUUGUAAUUUAGAGAAGUGUUAUCCGCGCUGGACCGUGUACAAGUCUCCUGGAAUGGAGCGUCAUAGAGGGUGAGAAUCCCGUCUUUGACACGGACUGCCAGGGCAUUGUGAUGCGCUCUCAAAGAGUCGAGUUGUUUGGGAAUGCAGCUCAAAAUGGGUGGUAAAUUCCAUCUAAAGCUAAAUAUUGAGGAGAGACCGAUAGCGAACAAGUACCGUGAGGGAAAGAUGAAAAGAACUUUGGAAAGAGAGUUAAACAGUACGUGAAAUUGCUGAAAGGGAAACGCUUGAAGUCAGUCGCGUCGCUCAGGACUCAGCCUUGCUUUGCUUGGUGUACUUCUCGGCUGACGGGUCAGCAUCAAUUUUGAUCCUUGGAUAAUGGCAAGGGAAAGGUAGCACCUUUACAGGUGUGUUAUAGUCCUCUGCCGGAUGCAAGGGUUGGGAUUGAGGAACUCAGCACGCACCUUGUCGGUGUCGGGGCCUUGGCCUACGUUACGUGCUUAGGAUGCUGGCAUAAUGGCUUUAAACGACCCGUCUUGAAACACGG
rnacentral:rRNA from 1 species